CUUGACUUCCCAAAGUGGUCCUGAAGUCCUCUUUUGUGUCUUUAAGGGUGAAAAAAUGUGGUCAGUGCUGCUGCUGAGUGCCACCCGGUGGAAAGGCAGGUUCCUAAAGACAUGACGCUGUGUCCUCACCCACCCCCGUUCACCAGAUCUGGCAUCACGGGACUUCGAGCUCUUCCCCUAACGUCAAAAUGACCAAGCAGACUAAACAUUUUGAGUCAGAUUCAGGAUAUCGAGGCCGCCAUGACAGCACAACUGAAGAUGCGCACAAAAGAAGACUGUAGAGCUGCUGCAGAAAGUGUACAUGAUGAUUACGCUACCCGUGUGGAGCUGCCCAUAACACAGCUUUGUUCCUUCUUCCAACCCCUUUCUCUCCCCUCACCCUCCCUCCGUCUCUCGAUCUGAUCCCCUUCCCAUUUGAGAAGAAUGUAGCUGUCCA
rnacentral:lncRNA from 1 species